rnacentral:misc_RNA from 1 species
UCCGUGUUAACCACGGCAGUCUCUUUAGAGUGCCCAACUGAAUGCUGGCAACUAAAGACAAGGGUUGCGCUCGUUGCGGGACUUAACCCAACAUGUCACCACACGAGCUGACGACAGCCAUGCAGCACCUGUCUCUCUGUGGUAUUGCUACCAAAGCCCUAUCUCUAGGGCGGUCAGAGGAUGUCAAACCCAGGUAAGGUUUUUCGCGUUGCUUCGAAUUAAACCACAUGAUCCACCGCUUGUGCGGGCCCCCGUCAAUUCCUUUGAGUUUUAGUCUUGCGACCGUACUUCCCAGGCGGGGCAUUUAUCGCGUUAGCUACGGCUCGGCAGGGGUCAAGACCCGCCAAGCCUAAUGCCCAUCGUUUACAGCGUGGACUAC